rnacentral:lncRNA from 1 species
UGAUUUUCCCUAACCUAAACUUCUUUCCCUUUUCCCUUUUCUCCCAGUGUAUUCAUUUUCUCUCUUUCCAUUCUUUUCUUAAGACCAUCAAUACAUAACAGAGCCAUUCUCAGGCCUUGUCUAAUGGAACUUGCUGUGUGGCCCCUGAGGACAGAAUUCAUGGGGGACAUAUGUAUUAUUUGAAUGUUGAAGAUCUGCUGUGCAAGCUUUCGGUAUUCCUAAAGUUGCCUGAUCCAAGACAAGAUCUGAUUGCUACCUUCCUGGUUUAAUCUCUGCAAGUUCCUGACUUGGGUUUGGGACUGUGCACAGGUAGACAGCCACUAGAUUCUAUUCUUAUCAACCAGCUGGACAGCUCUGUUGGCUGGAGUGGCAAAACAAUAGACUCCCUUUUGGUCCUACACUGCUAAUUCCUCUGGGGCUGGGUUUGCUUUGGGAAGUAAGACCCUGCUUUGUGCCUGAGCCAUACCUCUGCUGCUGCUGCUGUUCCUGAACUUCUUUCUCAGCUCACCACCCUGGAACUUCCUAACCAGAAUGUGCAAUAGCCAUGCAAAGAUCCUACUCUGCCCUGGAUCUUUCCACAGCUGGUAGUGGGUGAAAAAGCUUCCAGUUGGCAUCUGUCCUACUAUUGCAGUGUCCUGGUGUGGGUCUGAGGGUGCCUUGGUAUGGUGAUGGCUACUGAAUACUGGGUGAUCUUGACUUUGACUCCUCAAUACAUGAAUUAUUUCUCUCUGGAGGCUCGCAUGCUUUGACCUGGAGAUUCUGGAUUUUGUUUAUGAUGUUUCUGGGACUUUUCACUUGAGGGUUUUCUUUGAGGAUUUGUCUUGUGGACUCUAUCUAUUUACACUUUGUCCUUUGGUUAUAAGAGAUCUGGGUAGUUUCUUUUAGAAAUAGGCUCUCUUGGGGGCAGCUAAGUGGCUCAGUGGUUUGAGAGCCAGGCCUAGAGACAGGAGGUUCUGGGUUCAAAUAUAGCCUUGGACACUUCCCAACUGUGUGACCCUGAACAAGUCAUGAUAUUGAUUCUAAGGCAGAAGGUAAGGAUUAAAAAAAAAAAAAGAUGGGUAUGGGACAUCCUGCUCAAAAUGUCCAAAAGGUAGUUGACAAGAGGAGAUAGGACUCAGGGAAAAAAAAGGGCUGGAUUUAUAUAUCUCUUGGCCAUCCACAUAGAUGUAUGAUCCUUGAACCCACGGGAACUGAUAAGAAAGGGACCAGGAGGGGGCAGCUGGGUGACUCAGUGGAUUGAGAGCCAGACCUAGAGAUGGGAG